rnacentral:rRNA from 1 species
AUUGAACGCUGGCGGCAGGCCUAACACAUGCAAGUCGAGCGAGCGGCGGACAGGUGAGUAAUGUCUGGGAAACUGCCUGAUAGAGGGGGAUAACCACUCGAGACGGUAGCUAAUACCGCAUACCAUCAGAUGUGCCCAGAUGGGAUUAGCUAGUAGGUGGGGUAACGGCUCACCUAGGCGACGAUCCCUAUCUGGUCUGAGAGGAUGACCCGCAACACUGGAACUGAGACACGGUCCAGACUCCUACGGGAGGCAGCAGUGGGGAAUAUAUCACAAUUGGCGCAAGCCUGAUGCAGCCCUGCCGCGUGUAUGAGGAAGGCCUUCGGGUUGUAAAGCACUUUCAGCGGGGAGACGUUAACCGACGAAGAAGCACCGGCUAACUCCGGGCCUGCAGCCGCGGUAAUAC